ACUGUUAUACUUGGAGGCCAUGUCACCUGAGAGUCAAUGGGCAACGAUCAAAUUUCACCUUGAGCAGAUUCUUUUGUUUGCUUUUUAGUCACAAAUAGCUUGGCCCUAAGUGGUGGCUCCCAUUCUUGUAAGAUGCGUUUAUUCAUCGUGUAAUCACCAGUUCCCUGUAGUGGGGGCGUGGAUGGAGUGUCAGAGGCUCCUGCUGGUCUUUAGGGUGUCUGGCCUCCAGGAAUCCUAGAGUAAAUUGGGAACUACAGCACUCGAUGUUAGAGUUGUCGUGAAGAUUAAAGAAGGUGACGACUGGACAACUCCCAGCCCAAUACCUGAAACUGUACCAGCACCCAGUGAGCACUGCUAUUCCUGUGACUGCUGCACAUUUGCCUUAUCUCAGCAGUAUGCCUGUGUCACUUUUUUGUGAAGAGAACAUCCCGUGUACUAUCGUGUAGAAGUUGUAGUAGACGCUGUGGUCUUUCCAACAACAAACAAACUGCUGGGACAGGACCCAGGAGGUUCCGGAGGAUCAGGAGGUCCACCUGGGAGAAGAGCUGAUCGGCUAGUAGGAGAGCUGGAAAAGCAACAGACACCUACUUAGUCCCUUCCCUGGGGCCCGGCUCCAGUCUGAGCUGUCACGCCACAGCAAAGGCAUCACUUCAGGACAGCAAAGCCCCUGUCUCCCUCCCUUCCAGCUCCUCAGACUUCACCCUGGUAACACGUUUGUUUAAAAAACAUAUUUUUCCCCCUUGUAAAGAAUCUAGGAUACAAGGGGUCAGCCCAGCAGUUUAGGUAUCAAGAAGAAACUGCUCUCGGAGCUAAAGUAAGAAACAGUGCCUGUCUAUAGCGCAAAUAAAGAGUUGGAACAAGAUAAAA
rnacentral:lncRNA from 1 species